UCCCCUCGCCCCGACCCGGGCGCGAACCAGGGACCCUCUGCACACAUCAACAACAGUCACCCACAAAGCAUCGUUACCCAUCGCUUCACAGAAGCCGCGGCCUUUGCAGAGCAAAGGGGAACCACUACUUCANNNNNNNNNNUCCCCUACUGGACUGGCUGUUAGGACUAAUAGUCCCCUACUGGACUGGCUGUUAGGACUAAUAGUCCCCUACUGGACUGGCUGAUAGGACUAAUAGUCCCCUACUGGACUGGCUGUUAGGACUAAUAGUCCCCUACUGGACUGGCUGUUAGGACUAAUAGUCCCCUACUGGACUGGGAGGACUAAUAGUCCCCUACUGGACUGGGAGGACUAAUAGUCCCCUACUGGACUGGCUGUUAGGACUAAUAGUCCCCUACUGGACUGGGAGGAAACCUGGAGGAGCCUGCACUCGCCAUCACACCAAUAAUUGUUUUUUACUGUAGAAUCUGAUUUUUACUGUAAAAACUGACACACUCCGUUUCUACAGUAAAAUAAAUCACUGAGUGCUACAGACCUGGUGAUAUUUAUUGGUUUUUGAUCGACCGGUGAUAGAUUGGUGUGACUAUAUAUAUAUAUAUUUCACUCACUCUCUGCAGUCAUUGUUAUGUGAUUUAUUUUUAAAUAGUUGGUUUAUUUUCUAUUAUAGAGGUGUCUCCUGUUGUCUGUCACACUCUCUGGUUAACUGUUGUAAUAUCUUACUAAGCGGAGUCCCAAAUGCCUCCCUAUUCCCUACUGCUAUUGACCUGAGCCCUAUUGGCCAUAGUGCCCUGCUUUUAAAGUAGUGCCCUAUAAAGGGGAUAGUGUGCCAUUUGGGAUGCAAAUCUAACUGUAACGUGUUGUUGGCACUACAUCCUAAUGAUUUAGAUCUGGUCCAAGGCGUUACGCGCGACUUGGCUGGUGCCGAACCUGCUAGAUGCACGUAACAACAUGGACAAGAGCUACCUAUCAAUUAUACAGCUGAAUAAUAACAGGUCCUGUUGUGCUGAUAUUCUGAGUAAUAAUGGUGUGAGACUAAAAUACUUUUAACAAAACCUCUGUGUGUGUGUGUGUGUGUGUGUGUGUGUGUGUGUGUGUGUGUGUGAGAGAAAUAUGCAUAGGCAGAGUGGGAGAGUAGUACACUGUUAAAAGGGGAAGCCGUUGGAGGGUUUUAGGUGGUUAUACUAUGCCUGAUUUAAAUGUUUCAAUUAGAAUUUUAGGACCCCUUUAGGUAUCAAAAAGUUAUAAAAAAAAAAAUGUAUUUGAUCAAAUACUGAAUUUGGCCUUUACUACUGUAGCCCAGAGAAAUGC
rnacentral:lncRNA from 13 species